GGGUAUUAAUUAGGCCCGUGUGGAUGCUGUUUCUCUAAAGGCCACCGGUUUGAACCCUCGGACCGCGGAGCUGCUGUGUUCGGGGUCACAGCGGUAAAGGAGACUCACAGUACUUUCUGCAACAUGUGGAACGUGAUGUAAUAACUGCACGCUGUGUUCUCCGUCUUGUCACGAGGGGGAAAUAACAACCGAGGUGUAACUUUGGGGUUCAGACAGACGACAGAAAGUAUUUCAGAGGAAACUUUCAGACCUGCUGACGUGUUGAGUUGAUUUCUAAAGAGAUUCAUCAAAGUUCCUUCUCAGACAUUGAAGAAACGGAGAGACAUAUAUAUCUACAUCUCUAUGUAGAUAUAUAUCUAUGUGUGUGUAUAUCGGUGAUUCCUGCCCUGAAGGUCGUCUCUUACUGUUUCUAUUGGCAUUAUAAAUAUGGGACAUUCAAGUCAUUUCAUUGGGAUGGAAGAAAUGUGGCAUCCUUCUGGCUUUUCACUGCUCAAGUAUCUUAACGAAUAUAAAUGGGGGGAAAGCUGCUCACCACAGGAGGAACCAAACCAAUGUGCUGGUGAUUUACACCUUCGGCGCCAACAGCCCCUCACCUGCAUCACAAUUACAUUCUAGACAUGAAGUGGAAGCUGUUAUCUACCCCAGAGCCGUUUACAAUGAGGGCAACAACACAAUCGGCUUAAGUUAUUUCACUGCCAACAUUCCAAGGAAUCAUUAGUGAGAAGUGCAGGGGUCAGAAACGUCCUGGCAAGAGACGGAACAAAUUCCCCCCGUCCCUCCGACACAUUCAUGCAUAUAAAUGACUCAUUUCUCGUCGAAACGGAGACGUGGUGAGAGGACGAGGGAACACCGGGCGGAAGCAAUUCAAAGGGCUGUGAGGAGAAAUAAGGAGAAUGCAGUUAGUGAAGUUAAAAUGUAUUCUUUGGUUUUCAAUGAAUGUAAUCUGGGAACUUUUUAUAUGAAAAGGUGUGCUGCAUGACGAUAUGUUGAACUGGUACCAACCACCGAGUAGCUCUGGUUUAGAAGCCUGGCUGUGUGUCUUUGUCAUAAAUAAUAAUCAUGAUGUGAUAAAUAUACAUUUGGACCAUUUAAAUACAUUUCAGGUGGGAUUUCACUCGAGAAGUUGCUGACAAAAGAGGAAAAUGUGCUAAAUUUGAGACGAAACAUCUCAGGAACAAACAGGAGUGAUGACGGUAAAUAAAAGAACAGACACACACACACACACACACACUCCCUGAAAAUCACACAUAGAUGCACACGCACACACACUCACACACACACUGUGUGGAAGAUUAGCUCACUACACGCUAUGGUACAAUCCUCUUUGAGCGACUUAAACUUUCUCAUUACACGUUCACAUCCGGAUUUCUUUCCAGACAGCGAGAGGAAGACUUUUAGUGAGAAAGGAAGUAAGAUAAAAGGGAGAGAGACAGAAUGCAAGACAGAGAGAGAGAGAGGAUGGGAGGGAGGUUGAGAGAGAACUGGAAAGAAAGAGCGAGAAGAAGAGGAAAAACAAAAGGUUUGGUGAAGGUCAAGAUGGGAAAGGGCUCAGAGAUGGGAGUGACAAGAAGGAGAGAGAGAUUCACACGAUGAGGAGGAUUGUUGAGGACACCUGUGUGUGUCUGUGUGUGUGCGUGUGUGACACCGUGACAUACGAUGGAGAUUGGAAGGUAGUGGUGGCGGGUGCAGCACAAGGGGAAUGAUAAUGGACUCACACUGUACAUAUUCAAAAAUAAACUUGGACACCUGCACACACAGACACACACAUGCAGACUGUGCAACUGCUCAAUGAAAGCCAACAAGACGGAGUGACAUCAGAGAGGAGACGUCCUUCAGGGCUACAAACACAGAGCUGUGCAGCGUGAGACGCUCAUCAGAACACAGAGAGACGAAUGCUGAUUCAGGAUCAGUCACAACCGAGUCCGUGCACAAAGUGGGGAAGACGCGGCGCUGGAUGUGUGCGUUCUCGUGGGAUUCAGACUGAUGCCAGCUUCCUGUUGUGCAUUUGUCGUUGUAACAGUGUUCCCUGCUGCCUUACUGCUUCCAUUUCAACCUCAAAGAGGCUUUUUUCAGUAAAAGACAGCGACGCCCAAAUGGUGAAAGGUGAAUUGCACCUGGAGUCUAACGCUGCAAGGGAUUCUGGGUAGAAACUGAUACCACGUGUGGUGCACAUGACACUCGGAUCUCUUCCCUGAACGAGUCAGUGCCAGCGGGUUGAAUGCCAUUUGGUAACAUGCGCCAUAACCAGAGGUACGCGGCUGUUCACCCUGGUUUGUUUCCCUUAGGUAGACCCUGGUUAGUGUCCCUUAGGUAGACCCUGGUUAGUGUCCCCUAGAUGGACCCUGGUUAGUUUCCCUUAGGUAUACCCUGGUUAGUGUCCUCUAGGUAGACCCUGGUUAGUGUCCCUUAGAUGGACCCUGGUUAGUUUCCCUUAGGUAUACCCUGGUUAGUGUCCUCUAGGUAGACCCUGGUUAGUGUCCCCUAAAUAGACCCUGGUUAGUUUCCCUUAGGUAGACCCUGGUUAGUGUCCUCUAGGUAGACGCUUGUUAGUGUCCCCUAGGUAGAGCCUGGUUAGUGUCUAUCAGGGUCAUUUCAUUGGCUCAUUUCACCGUACUUCUGUGACAUAACUGGGAUUUGAAAUGGUGAUUUUCCUUUGUGGUGCCAGCAGCGAGCUGCAGGACCCUUCUCCCAUCAAAUAGCUUCUCUUAAAAAGAUUAUUCUGGGCCUAUCAGAGGAUGUCAUUUGGAAGCAAAUGCAUUGGGGAGCUCUGCCCAUCUGUUAUAUGUAAUCUAAUUUUCUCAUGCUCCAAAAGCUGGCCAGGAAGAAAAAAAGGAAAUCUCCAGGAUCUCUGAAGCCUUUUAACGUGUUACGGACACGUUUUCUCACUCAGCUCACAUUUCUCACUCACCCCGGGAUCACUUCUGUCCAAAAAUGUUCUCAACAACGGUUUAUAUACAACACCACAUUCAUGAUGCGGACCGGGAGCGUUCCAGAGAUCCGACCUGAAGGUAUCAAACGCUCCGGAAAAGAUCUGCCAAACUGCUCCAGACCCGAUCUUGCCAGUCAGUAUUUGAACUGGGAAACAGGGCGCGUUCGGUGUGCGGGUCCGCGGCGGAUCCGCUGUUUGAAGGUGCGCGAUCCGUAGGAUCCAGGAUAAUUUCCUUGGCAACCAUUAACCAUUACAUCCAACAGCCAUCAGGCUCACUGUGACAAACCUGACAUGACACAUUCAACUCGAUGCGCUAACGUUUUGUUUCCAUUUCAAAAGGCAUUUCUCUUCUCUCUUUGCUACGUUUACGGCGGGCGUCCACUCACUUCACUACUGAGAAGUCAGUGUGGGUAAAAUAGAUUUUUAUUUUGCCCAAAGGUAGCACCAAUCAUAAUCAUUUCUAAAACUGUGCUAAAACUCCCACGUGGACGGAAAUUAUUUGAAAUGGAAAUAUAUUAGUGGAGCUAAUGGCUCGGUUCAGUGUAGUUAGAGUAUUAAAUGAGCCUGAAGUUUAUUAGAAGUGUUUACAGAUUAGAGCUCAGCUCCACUACCUAACUGCCCCCUAUCACGACGCAUUUACUCAAUCAGACGUUCAUGAAGGGGCAAAGGUAUGAAUUCCAAACUCAACUCAACGCAAGUGGAUAAUGCCUUCAUGUCUGCCGGGACCUCGGGCUCGUCAGCCCGCCGGCGUCCCCGGCCGAGGCACUUGGGAGUUGAACUUUGCACGUGAGCGGUCGGAUACGAGGUGGGCGUCUGCUCCGGGGAUCUGGUGGGAGCCGCACCGGGCUACUAAUGCACGGUAUGGUGAUUUAAGCGAAGCCUCUUGUGCCUCCUGGGCUAAUUAUCCAGGUCCCAGAAUGUCUGAACUUUUCCUUUUCCUCACCACGAUCCACUUGGAGUCUAUUUCCUGCCUCUGGUUACACUCCCUCAUUACUUAAGUUUUGCAUUUGCCGGCUUGCUUGCUUCACCGCUUCCUUCGUAUCUGCUUCUUUACUCAAGCUUUAAAUUCCCCUUCCUAUACUUUCCUCUCCACCUGCUGUAUGUAAGACCGUGUUGCUCAUUAUGCCUCUGAGGGAGGGCAGAAAUUGCAUUUUGUCCGAGUUGAACUCGUGUGCCCUGUUACUCAGCUGGCAGAAGGUUUUUUUUUUCUAUUUGCAAAUUCUGUCACUAGUGGGGGGUUUUGUAAGCAGUUACUAUUUAGGUUGCUUAACUUACACUCAUUGUUUUCUGGGCCACGUUGUUCGAAGAUGCUAUUUGCAAAGGACUCGUGGCCCUUCACUCAUCAAUGAAGCCUUUGGGGGAAAAUGCAAACUACUGCGAAUGUGUCGUACAGCGUUUAUCCACAGCAGCAGGGACAUGGCAACAGUUGCAGCACUAUUUGAAUUUAAUGUCUGAAUACAUUUUUCAUUAAUGUGCCUCGGGCGAAAUGCUGAAUAAUUUGAAUGGCCCUCCGGUAAGAAGGUUUUAUUGUGACAGGUAAGAAGGGAAGGAGUGGAUCUAGUCUGCGCUCUUUGUGCAAUAAGGUUUACGCACUUUAAUGGCAACUGAAAUACAGUAAACAUAGAGUUAAAAUGAAAUAAAAGCAUUGUUAGAUAAUGAAACGUAAAGGCAGAUCAAGGAUGCUAACAAAUGCCAGCGAACACGUUAAAGUAAAUGUCACUUCCUGCGCUGACCGUCGCCUCUGAACAUGAAUCAUGAAUCGUGAGUCCUUCCCGUCGCCAAACAUUCACUUAUGUAUCGAGGACGAUUGAAGAGUCUCCACGUUCAUUAUUUUCCUGCCUUUCACCUCGUUGGUCCUUCUGGGAAUCUUCCUCUUCCUCCUUUCCUGGUACCCCGGGACCCCCCCCACGCCCCCUCCUUCCUCAUUACGAGGAGAAUAGAGGAUGUCUGCUCGGCCUCGGGGGCAGCGAUGAUCAUCUGCUGUUGAACCACACGCAUGCAUGUAUGGAUGCAACAACCACAAACAUAUUGUGCAAUACUCACUAACGUUUGGAUUUAAAUGUUACAUGCAUGUUAUCUUUGUGCACAUACUUCUUACUAACCUUCUAUCUUCAAAACAGGACCCAAAUCAUGAGGGGACAACUGCAGAGGAGUUCAACAUGACGUACAAGAGGCGAUCCCCAAAGACACUGUGGAUGUAUGAAUCUCAAAUUAACUCCUGGGCAAAAAAAGUCCCAUAAGAGAAAAGCGAAAAUGGUGUCAGUGAGCUGAGGAGAGAAGAGGAAGAGGAGGAGGAGGCAAAAUAAAACAUUCGACACACUACAGAAGUUCUUUUUCAUUCCAACUCAGAUGCUCCUCAGAUGCUCCUGAGCUCCGAGGGUCACAGUCACAGACGUCCGUCCACGUGUCCAUUGUCUCUGUGUGUGAGUGGACAGCGAGCUUUGUUGAUGCUGACACAUGGAGGGAGAAACUCCAGACCAGAUGAGAACAGAAGGGACGAGAGAAGAAAGGGAGAAGGACGGGAUGUGAAAUGAGAGAGGAGCUGGGAAGAUAACAGGAGAAUAAAAGGAAGGAAGGAAGGAGGCCAGGAGAGAGGAGGAGACAGGGG
ensembl:lncRNA